rnacentral:rRNA from 1 species
UACGGAGGGAGCAAGCGUUACUCGGAAUUACUGGGCGUAAAGGGCUCGUAGGCGGCCAACUAAGUCGGAUGUGAAAUCCCCAGGCUUAACCUGGGAACUGCAUCCGAUACUGGAUGGCUUGAAUCCGGGAGAGGGAUGCGGAAUUCCAGGUGUAGCGGUGAAAUGCGUAGAGUAAUCUGGAGGAACACCGGUGGCGAAGGCGGCAUCCUGGACCG